rnacentral:rRNA from 1 species
UACGGAGGAUGCGAGCGUUAUCCGGAUUUAUUGGGUUUAAAGGGAGCGUAGGUGGACAGUUAAGUCAGUUGUGAAAGUUUGCGGCUCAACCGUAAAAUUGCAGUUGAUACUGGCUGUCUUGAGUACAGUAGAGGUGGGCGGAAUUCGUGGUGUAGCGGUGAAAUGCUUAGAUAUCACGAAGAACUCCGAUUGCGAAGGCAGCUCACUGGACUGCAACUGACACUGAUGCUCGAAAGUGUGGGUAUCAAACAGG